GUUUUUCCGGUGAAUAAUCAUAAGCCAAAACAGAUAACACCGUAUUCACCACCAUUAUCGGCGGCUCUAUCUUGAAAUUUGCUGUGCAUACAAAUAUAUCUACUCCAGGCAACUCAUCCUGGUACCUCCAAGAGAGCCUGUCCUUGAAGGUGGACCUGAAGACUGGGUUCCACCUGAGAGCUUGAGUGAUGAGCCAGUAAAGACCGAACCAUAACUCAGCUGCAAGCAGUCCAAUCCAAACCCAUCUGCCAUCUUCUCCAUUUUUUGGUAAGUUAGUGAUUCUGUAAACCCAUAUGAAGCAUACAGCAAGAAACACAGUUACAGAGAAGAGCCUGUAAAAGAGCCAUGCCUUAGCUUCUUUUGUUUCAAAUAAUGGGAUGUAUUGCUCUCUUUCCAUCUCUCUGUUUAAUUCUUUCUAAAUGAUCUGCACUCAUAAUUUUUAUCUUUUUUUUGGUUUACAUGAAAAUUUAAGAAAAAAAAAUAAAAGAGAAGAAUGGUGGCCACAUAGUAUAUUAUCCACAACUUAUUAAAAAAAAUCAUAAUUACUCACACUUAGUACUUUAAAUCUUAUUAUAUGUCAAAAUUAUUUUUAUUUUAUUAAUUUUAAUUUUAUUAUUUUAUAAAUUAUUGGUGAUAGGGAUUAAUUUACAUUUGAUUAUUACGAUUUUAUAAAGUAUAAUUUUAAUUUAAAAUUUUAAUAAGUUAAUAAGUUAAUCUCAAAUAAUAGUAUAGUAGGGUGUCUUAUAUAAUGGCAUAAACAUAAUACAAGAAAAAUAUAAAUAAAAAAUUGUAUGUGAUUCCAUUUAUUUAUUGAAAAAUAUUUUAACAUUUUUUAAGAUUUAGAAAACUCAGAAAAAUAGUAAAUGAAAAAUAUUUUUUUUAAAAAAAUCAUUUUUUAUAUUUCAAACAUUUUGCAAAUACUAUAACGUGUAAAAUGUAUUUAAUAUGAUUGAAAUAUAAAUAUACUGCCACUAAUUAUUCUUAUAAGAAAAAAAAAAGCGAGUUGAUGGAUAUUUAUAAGGGCCAUUCCGACGGUGAAAUAAAUAAACGAAUAAAAAACAAUUGUAAUAUAAUAUUUUAAACUCAUGAGUAAUAUACAAAAAUUAUGUAAUUUAAUUUUUGUGAUUAUUAAUUUUUAUGUUGUCAGAAAAUAGAAUUAGUUAUCACAUCAUCAUCUAACAGUAACUUCCAAUUAUGUAAAUAAUUAACGAUGGUUAAUUAGAACUAAUUACUACGAAUAUAAUAUUUUGCACAGGGAAAACUAGAACUAGAAACUAUAUAUUUGCAUAAUCUCAACUUAAUUUUUUACUGUCUCAAGAAAUAGAAAAUAGAAAACAUUAAAUAUCAGUAAAUUACAGAACUUGUAAAUAGCCACAAGGAAGAGAAUCAAUAUAGGAGAGUGAAGCUAGAGGAAGCAAGAAGAGCUACAACAAAUGAUUUGAAAGCUAGAGAACUUGGCAACUUGCCGUUGUCAUUCCUCAGGAAAAGGCCCUGAUACAGAGGCAAGUUGAUGAGAACCAAAGCAAUGCAGAGAAGAGUUUGCAAAGGCAUAGUCUUGUAAAGACUAAAAACAUCGCCAUUCAUGAUCACUUUAUUCACAACUCCAAUAAAGCAGAAGAGAUUGAGCAUUGCAAGUGUUGCUAAGAUGGCGAACAUUGGAGAGGAAUCUCCAAAUUCCAUCAUCUCUUUCUCGUACCUUUUUAAUACAUCUUCAUCGGUAAAUUUUGCAGUGACUACAAAUGUUGAUUCAGUGAAUCCUAGCAUCUUCAAAAUGGUGUCAAUGAAUCCAAAGAAGAAGGAGCUUGUUCUUUUAUAUAACCACAUUCUUUGUUCACACCACCAGCCAAGGAUUGUGCCACCAGACCAUAGGAAUUCAGCUAGGCUAUAAAUGUAUCGAGUAGCUAUUACAUAAGCAAAAGGUAGGAUCCAUGGGCUCGAGAUCUGAAAAAACAACAAAAAAUUUUGAAUAGUUAGAUUAUAGAUGCAUUCACAAAAUCAAAGGUUUGUAAGAAAAUUCGUAAUUGAUAUAAGAGAACGCACACACACAUAUAUAUAUACCUGUGGGAACAAGGAUAUGCCUUUAAGGAGAUAAAGCGAAGGGAAUAUACAGUAACAGAGUACUGGAAUGCUGGAUGGACACCAGAAACAAUAGUAGCAAUAACCUAGUUGCAGGCCAAAGCUAAUCUUUCCACGGGCAUACGAUAAAGGGCUAUAAUUGCAAAACAAAAUCUGGAAAGCACCUUCAGCCCAUCUCUUGUGCUGCACCAGUGUCUGAGACAAGGUAGUUGGAGCCAGACCGAUGAAUGCCUUCCUUUCUGGAUUGAUAUACACUGAUUUCCAUCCUCUGCAAUGGAUUGACAAGCCAGUAAUCACGUCUUCGAGCAGACACCCGUAUCUCAGACCCAUCUGCAAUCCAACAUUCUUUUUGUUAGAGUAGAAUUUCAUAAAGAAAUUAAUGGAGAUUAAUUGCUGAUAGACCUCUUUGCCCCAUUGAGUGUUUUGCUCGUAAGUACAGCUUGCAAGAGACUUUGUUUCUUGUUCUAAUUCCAGUAUGCUCCUUAGUCUCUUAUGAUCAUCAUCGUUCUUCCAUUCAAAUUUGCUAUCUUUAGUGAAUUUCCUUCCACACAGAACAUCUCUCCUCUGAAAGCAGCCAGUUCCACAAUAUGGAGGGCCUCCAAAACCAUCCAAACCAUGGAAUUCCACCUUUAAAAAUUGCCAACAUUUAGCAAAGAAGCAGGACGAAUUAUGAAACUCUAACACAUGACUGAUCAGUUUAAAUAUAUAUACACUUGUCUGCGCUUACAUUGAAACCCACUCGUAAAGAGUUGCUGUAAACAUCAUUCUUGGUAAUAUUUUCGAAGUGUUGUGGGUAUUGUGCAAAAGCAACUUCAUGGCUUUUCUCUUCAUCCAAGAAGAAGCAAAGUGCAUCGUGAACGGAUAAUGAAUUGUUUGAGUACAUAUCACAGUCAAGAUUGAGAAUAAUCGGUCCAUUGCUGAUCUUUGAUGACACUCUAAUCUGCAUAGUAGACCAAAAAAAGGCAAAUAAAUGAUCUUGACGAACAAACAUGACCAGAAUCUAACAAAGAGUAUAUGGGUACAUGCAGAUAAAUUAGUUACCAAGGCAUUCAUAGCUCCAGCUUUGAAAUGGUGUGGAUGUUGGGGUCUCUUCUCUCUAGCAAGGUAUACCAAAGUAGGCAAAGCACACCCAUCAAUGUCUUUGGCAUUUGGAUCUUUCCCAUCUAUCAGAAUCUGUCAAACAAAGUGGAAGUACAAACAUCGAACACCACGACUACAAUUAUACUUGAUGGGAAUUAAACUCAUGCAAGUUGGAAAAGAAAAAAAAAAAAACAUUACUUGAAGGAUAGUGUCAUGGUCUAGCCGUGAGGAGUAUGAAUCCCACUGUGAAAAUCCUUCAUGUUUGGAGCGUUGUUCUUCAGGGAUUCGACCUAGCUUGGUUGCACUUGCAAUUCGCUCUUUCAUUUCUUCAUAUAAUUUCUGCAACGAAAUAGCUUAUACUUCCAAUUUCUCACUGCGUCUCUUCAAAGUUUGUUUCUUAUAUAUAUAUAUAUAUAUAUAUUCUCUAAAUAGUGUUGGAAAAUUUUCUUUUAAUAAAAAAAUAUUAAAUGAAUUUUUAUUAUUUUUUACAUGAUUUUUAUUUAUUUCAAAAUAAUUUUUUUAAAUUAAAAUAAUCAAAUUAAAUUUUGUGAAAUUUUUUAUUUCGAAUAAGAGGAAAAAAUAUGUCUAAUGUGAAUUUUUUUUAAAAAAAUUAUGAAUAUAAUUUCCUAUUAAACUUUCAUUAUAAUUAUAAAUUAAAUUAAUUUAAACCUUUAUCAUUAAUGUAAACAUAUUUUUUUUUAUCGUCGAUCUUCAACUAAAUUUUUAUAUUUUAUAUAUUGAUUACUCUUAUUUAAAAAUAAAAAUGUUUUACAGAGUAAUUGUAAUGUUUUUUAAAAAAAUUAUAAAAUUUGAAUUUAAAAGAAUCUAUAUGUAAGAUUUUUUAAAUUUUUUUUAAAAAAAAUAUUUUACAAUCUAUCAAAAUUAGUAAAUUUAAACUUAUAAAUAAAAUAUAUAUAUAAAAAAUUUUAAAAUUAUUUAGAAAUUAUAAUUUAUUUUACACUCAUAAAUUUAGUCUAAUAAUAAAUAGAUCUAAAUAAAUUUAAAAAAUUUCAUAUUCUAAUCCACAAUCCCUAACAAAUAGUAAAUAAGAUUCUAAUCUUUAAUCCCUUACUAAUAAUAAAUCAUUACCUUAAUAGCUAGGGACGCCUCACUAUGAUGAGAAAGAUCCAUACAAGAUUUAGAAUCAGUAAAAUAAGCAGCAGGAGACCUUGGUUCCACCUUGAACUUCUUACAAUAUGGUAUCCAAUGUCUGGCAAACUCGGAACCCUCCAAGAGAGCAUAAAACGUAAGAUCUGAUCCACCAUCGUCCGACAGAUACACACUAAGUUUUUCCGGUGAAUAAUCAUAAGCCAAAACCGAUAACACCGUAUUCACCACCAUUAUCGGCGGCUCUAUCUUGAAAUUUGCUGUGCAUACAAAUAUAUCUACUCCAGGCAACUCUUCCUUGUACCUCCAAGAGAGCCUGUCCUUGAAGGUGGACCUGAAGACUGGGUUCCACCUGAGAGCUUGAGUGAUGAGCCAGUAAAGACCGAACCAUAACUCAGCUGCAAGCAGUCCAAUCCAAACCCAUCUGCCAUCUUCUCCAUUUUUUGGUAAGUUAGUGAUUCUGUAAACCCAUAUGAAGC
rnacentral:lncRNA from 1 species